GCUUCAAUCGAUUAACGGUUAAAUCACGCCCUUCACAAAAGCUCAACUUUCGGGCGAGCCCCCGGUUCGAUUCCGGGUUGAAGCA